CAGCCGCCGCGGGAAUACAGAGGGUGCGAGCGUUAAUCGGAUUUACUGGGCGUAAAGCGUGCGUAGGCGGCUUUUUAAGUCGGAUGUGAAAUCCCUGAGCUUAACUUAGGAAUUGCAUUCGAUACUGGGAAGCUAGAGUAUGGGAGAGGAUGGUAGAAUUCCAGGUGUAGCGGUGAAAUGCGUAGAGAUCUGGAGGAAUACCGAUGGCGAAGGCAGCCAUCUGGCCUAAUACUGACGCUGAGGUACGAAAGCAUGGGGAGCAAACAGGAUUAGAUGCCCCAGUAGUCCCUGUCUCUUAUAA
rnacentral:rRNA from 1 species